GAUGAAGAACGUAGUGAAAUGCGAUAAGUAAUGUGAAUUGCAGAAUUCAGUGAAUCAUCGAAUCUUUGAACGCACAUUGCGCCCGCCAGUAUUCUGGCGGGCAUGCCUGUUCGAGCGUCAUUUCAACCAUCAAGCCCCAGGCUUGUGUUGGGGACCUGCGGCUGCCGCAGGCCCUGAAAAACAGUGGCGGGCUCGCUAGUCACACCGAGCGUAGUAGCAUACACAUCGCUUAGGACGUGCUGCGGGUUCCGGCCGUUAAACCCCCCACUAUAUCAAGGUUAACCUCGGAUCAGGUAGGAAGACCCGCUGAACUUAAGCAUAUCAAUAAGCGGAGGA
rnacentral:misc_RNA from 1 species